rnacentral:lncRNA from 1 species
AGGAAGAGACUAGGAGUUUGCAACAUGCUAGCCAAGGAGGAGUGUUGAAGUUGGCAAGCAUGUGGCACAAUGAGCAGCCAAGGAAGAAAUUAGGCAGGCCGAGCCAAGCAGAUACAAUUGAAGUCAAUACAGCUGAUUUCAUUUGUUUAUUUUGUAACCUUAGUUGUUGUAAUGUGUUUCAGUUCAUUUUGAACCAUGUUAGGUUAAUGCUUGAUGUAAUUUGAUAGUGAUUGAGUUUUUAACUCAGCUUUGUUUAUGUGUACAAGCUUGGUUUUCCAAGUUUCAAUGUAUUAGUGGUAGUAGGUAUUGAUUAGGUGACCACAUACUGAUUUUGACAAGCUAAGUUCUUGGUUUAUGUAUUGACAUUAUGUUAUUAUUCAUUUUUGAAUGAAUUCAAUUAGUUUUUCUUCUACAUACUCUCCAUUUUUCUUUGUUUUCAAUUUUUUUUCCUAUCUUGAAUUCUAUUGUUUCUUUCCAAGCAUCGAGCCUUGUUGCUCAAGUCAGUAGCUGAACUUGCUUGCAUUUUGUUCUAACACCAACAUCUUUCCUUGCAAUCACCUUGAUAUUUUCCUCUUCCAUUUCUUUUUAGCUUAAGCUUCAAAGAAUUUCUUAUUGUAGAUUGUAUUUAUGCACUCAGCACGUCCAAUAUUGGAGCAACCACUUUAGUCACAGAUGCUGCAACUGAAAUAUUUGGAAAAGCUGGUGUUGUGCUGCAACUGGAGUAAUGACUGCAUGUUUCAUUAUCCUGUUCUUUGAUUUAUUUUCAUGUUUAUGUUUGGCAUGCCUGAAAAUCUUCGUUUCUAUCUCAUAUCAUGAACUUAUGCUAAGUUAGUAAAAAAAUGUUGGUGUUUUGACAGAAAACUAAGAAGAAUUGAAGCAAAGAAAACGGAUGCAAAGAAAUUUGAACAAGAAAAAAAAUUGAAAAAAUUCUGAUCAGACUUCAAAUUUUCAUUAAGUCAAAAAUAUAUAGGUUUCAAGGCUGUUACCUAAUGUGUAACUGCUCCCACUGAUUACUUGACUAAAGUAAAACUUAAAUUACACACAAAAUGUAGUUGACAUGUCAAUUAUUAUAUCAAAUUGGACAUCAUUUAAAUCAGCAACUAAUCCUACUAACUUUAAAAACAAAUUACAAAAAAACUUAAGCUAGUUACAUAUAAACAAAAUGUUGCUACUGUGCUGGUUGAGCUUCAAUGCUUCUCUGAUGUUGCAUUGCAGGCCAAAGUUAAGCAUAUCUCCUUGGACUAUAUGCAACAAACACCAAUACUUCUCCUUAAGUUCCAAAUCUUGUAGCACCGAGAGACUUAGUUAGAAUAUCAUCAAGUUGGUUUUCUGAGCUGCAAUGAAUCAAAUAAACUUCCUUUGAUUGUUCAACCUCUCUAAAAAAUGAAAUUUAAUCUUAAAAUGCUUGGUUUUUCUAUGAAAUAUUGGAUUUUUGGCUUUGGCAACAACUGACUGAUUGUCAACUCUAAUCUCAGUAGCUUCAACUUGAUCUUCAUUCAAAUCACAUAAAAGUUUCCUAAGCCAAAUGGCUUGAUUAAUAGCUACAGCAGCUGCAAUGUACUCUGCUUCUGAUGUUGAUUGAGUUACAAUUUGUUGUUUCUUUGAAAUCCAACAAAAGACCCCUGAGCCAAGAGUGAAGAAAUAACUAGAUGUGCUCUUCAUGUCCUCAAUGGAUCUUGCCCAAUCAUUAUCAGAAUACCCUAACAGUAUGAGUUCUUUUGCCUUCUCAAAUUUCAUUCCAUAAUCCAAAGUCCCUUUCACAAAUGUAAAAAAUCUUUUGGCUGCCUUGAAAUGAACAACAUCGCAUCAAUGCAUGAAUCUAGAAAGAAGACUAACAGCAAACCUGAUAUCAGGUCUUGUAGCUGUCAAGUAAAGCAAACAACCUACAAGGCUUCUAUACUCUUUCUUAUCAACUCUUUCAUGGUUGCUAUUAUUGGUUAGUUUUUCACCUUGAUGUUGGAUCGCCGGCACCCCUACGGCGCAGCGGAAAAAUUAAAAUUGGCGACCCUAACUAUGGAUCCAUGUGUGAGGAACGAAUCGAGGUGAUCAAGGUUACGAAUUUACCUAAUGCUUAUUCAGAGUAGACAUCAACACCUCAACAACAAGUAGUCUGAUCUGCUGUCGAACCAAAACCGCAAUCUAUCGUGAUCCCGGUCUCUACGUAAUCCACCCAGUUGACUACGAAUGGAAGAAAUCCCCAAAACAAUUUUGAGAGUUAUUUUUCUUAUGCGGCUGCUAGACUCAAACAAAGAAAAACGUGAUUAUUUAUAUCCUUUUGUUUUUUAGGGUUUUUUAGGGUUUUUAAGAAUUAAAUAAAUAUGAUAAUAUUUUAAACCGAAAAUUAUAAUUACAUUAAUUAUAAUAUAAGUUCGGUAAACCAUAUAUUUAUUUGACUUCUUAUGCUAACCAAAUUCAUGUCCUCACUAUACGUACAACAACCUUGUACAUAAUGUGUUGGAAAUUUGAUUACCGAAUUAAAUUAAUUCUAUAAUUAAUUUAAUUGAAGCGACCCCAAAAACAAUACCAACUAUGGUAUAUUCCGUUCAUUUCAACUAUAGGGUGUGACCCUGUAGGUUCUUGUAACGUUAGCAGUAACACUAGAACGAUUCUAAUGCUACGAACAAUGAGUGGCAUCUAGCAAUGCAUCAUUGCUACCUAAGUCACAAGAGAUCAUGAUUCGACAUAACCUUUUUAUGAUUAACCUUUUAUGCAAUAAUCCUUAAGUCCUUUAUCUCUGGAUUGGACACAAGUCAUGGAAUAGUCACACUUGCAUUGUCCAUUCCAUGUUCCUUGAUCUCUUAAGCAGACUACGAUAUACAAAUAAGUAUGACAUCUAAUAUCAACUUAUUUGAGCAUGACCAUGCAUUUCUAGUCUUACUUAAUCAAGUGGCCUAAGAUAUUACUCCCAUUAUGUAGGAGGGACUUAUCCUAUAUCGACCAACCAUAUCCCUCUACAUAGAUUGUGGUAUAUCCAACAUCAGUCUUUGUAGAACAACCAGUUACGGUGUACGUUUGACUGUAUCAAAAUAUACAACUCACGAUGUUGGGAUUAUGAUGAUCUCAAGUCUGAGGAUCAUAUAAAUAUUAAUCAUUNNNNNNNNNNNNNNNNNNNNNNNNNNNNNNNNNNNNNNNNNNNNNNNNNNNNNNNNNNNNNNNNNNNNNNNNNNNNNNNNNNNNNNNNNNNNNNNNNNNNNNNNNNNNNNNNNNNNNNNNNNNNNNNNNNNNNNNNNNNNNNNNNNNNNNNNNNNNNNNNNNNNNNNNNNNNNNNNNNNNNNNNNNNNNNNNNNNNNNNNNNNNNNNNNNNNNNNNNNNNNNNNNNNNNNNNNNNNNNNNNNNNNNNNNNNNNNNNNNNNNNNNNNNNNNNNNNNNNNNNNNNNNNNNNNNNNNNNNNNNNNNNNNNNNNNNNNNNNNNNNNNNNNNNNNNNNNNNNNNNNNNNGAUUGAUCUUUGGGCAUACUCUAACAAUCUCCCACUAGCACUAAGACCAAUCACUUAUAUAUCUAAUACCAAGUGACUUAGUGUGACGAUCAUGCUUCUGCUGUGUCAGAGGCUUGGUCAAUGGAUCAGCAAUGUUAUCAUCUGUAGGUACUCUGCAUAUCUCUACAUCCCCUCGAUCGAUAAUCUCUCGAAUAAGAUGGUAGCGCCUAAGUAUAUGUUUGGAUCGCUGGUGAGAUCUAGGUUCUUUAGCUUGUGCAAUGGCUCCAUUGUUAUCACAUCGGAGUUCUAUAGCAUCUGAUAUGCUAGGCACAACUCCUAGUUCAGUAAUGAACUUUUUGAUCCAAACCGCUUCUUUUGCUGCCUCACUGGCUGCAAUAUACUCGGCCUCUAUUGUAGAAUCGGCUACUGUACUUUGCUUUGAACUCUUCCAGCUCACAGCACCACCAUUAAGGCAAAACACAAAACCUGAUUGUGAUCGAGUAUCGUCCUUAUCGGUUUGGAAGCUAGCAUCAGUGUAACCUUUUACACUUAAUUCUUCCUCACCUCCAUAUAGUAGGAAAACAUCCUUAGUUCUUCUCAAGUACUUAAGGAUAUUCUUGACUGUGGUCCAGUGACCUUCACCGGGAUCUACUUGGUAUCUGCUCGUCAUGCUUAAGGCAUAUGAGACAUCUGGACGGGUACAUAACAUGGCAUACAUGAAAGAUCCAAUAGCGGAAGCAUAUGGAAUUUUACUCAUUCGUUCUCUCUCCUGUAGAGUUGAAGGACACAUUUCCUUCGAGAGUGAAAUACCAUGUCUCAUAGGUAGGAAUCCUCUCUUAGAUUCUUCCAUACUGAACCUUUUCAGUACUUUGUCUAUGUAUGUACUUUGGCUUAGACCUAGUAGUCGUCUUGAUCUAUCUCUAUAGAUCUUUACUCCUAAUAUGUAAGUUGCUUCGCCUAAGUCCUUCAUAGAAAAACAGCUUCCUAACCAAGUCUUAAUAGACUGCAAGGUAGGUAUGUCAUUUCCUAUGAUAAGUAUGUCAUCCACAUACAGUACCAAGAAUGUUAUAGUGCUCCCACUAACUUUCUUGUAAACACAUGGCUCAUCUUCAUUUUUGAUAAAACCAAACUCUUUGAUUGCAUCAUUAAAACGAAGAUUCCAACUUCGAGAAGCUUGCUUUAAUCCAUAAAUGGAUCUUUGUAGCUUACAUAUCUUUCCAGUAUCCUUUGGAUUGACAAAACCUUCAGGUUGUGUCAUGUACACAUCCUCUCAGUUUCCCGUUAAGGAAAGCUGUUUUGACGUCCAUCUGCCAGAUUUCAUAGUCAUGAAAUGCAGCUAUAGCUAGCAAGAUCCUGAUGGAUUUAAACAUAGCUACAGGAGAAAAGGUUUCAUCAUAGUCAACACCAUGAACUUGGCAAAAACCUUUAGCGACUAAUCUCCCCUUGUAUGUUUGUACAUUACCAUCCAUGUCGGUUUUCUUUUUGAAAACCCACUUGCACCCUAUGGGCUUAACCCCUUCGGGUGGGUCAACCAAAGUCCAUACUUGGUUUUCAUACAUGGAAUCCAUCUUAGAUCUCAUGGCUUCAAGCCAUUUCUCAGAGUCUGGGCUCGUCACCGCUUCUUGAUAAGUCCUAGGCUCAUCUUGAUCUAUCAGUAGAACGUCACCAUGCGUUGUAAUGAGAAAUCCAUAUCUCUCAGGUGCUUGGCGUUCCCUUAAAGAUCUACGCAGUGGUUGUGUUUCUACAGCAAUUACUUGUUCCUCAACCCCUUGUGGAACUUGCUGUUGUUCUAUCUUUGGUUCAGUGGUAUUUUGCGAUUCUCGAACUUCAUCAAGUUCAAUCUUUUUCCCACUUCCUUUUCUAGAAACAAAUUCUCUCUCUAGGAAGACACCAGUCCGAGCAACAAGUACUUUGUUCUCAGUGGGAUUAAAGAAAUAAUAUCCUUUGGUUUCUUUUGGAUACCCCAUAAAAAUACAUUUUUCAGAUUUGGGUUUAAGCUUAGUAGACGUCUGACGUUUAACAUAAGCUUCGCAACCCCAAAUUUUCAUAAAAGACAUACUGGGACGUUUCCCAGUCCAUAUCUCAUAUAGUGUCUUUUGAACCGAUUUAGAUGGAACACGAUUUAGUGUGAAAGUAGCUGUCUCAAGUGCAUGUCCCCAAAAGGAAGUCGGAAGAUCAGCAUGACUCAUCAUGGAUCGAACCAUGUCUAACAAAAUUCGAUUUCUUCUUUCAGAAACUCCAUUCCAUUGAGGAGUACCAGGAGGAGUAAGUUGUGAGACAAUCCCACAUUAUCAAACUCUAAGCUCAUAUACUCCCCACCUCGAUCAGAUCGAAGUGUCUUGAUAGUUUUUCCUAGUUGAUUUUGUACUUCAUUUUUGAAUUCCUUGAACUUUUCAAGGGAUUCAGACUUAUGGCGCAUGAGAUAGACAUACCCAUAUCUACUGAAAUCAUCAGUAAAAGUGAUGAAGUAAUGAAAUCCUCCUCUAGCCUGUAUAUUUAUUGGCCCACAUACAUCAGAAUGUAUUAGGCCCAAUAAAUCACUAGCUCGUUCACUUUUACCAGUAAAAGGAGACUUAGUCAUUUUUCCCAAUAAGCAAGAUUCACAUACUUCAAAUUGUUCAAAAAUAAACGAAUCCAAGAAACCAUCUUUAUGGAGCUUGGAUAUGCGUUCCUCACUUAUGUGGCCCAAACGACAAUGCCAUAGAUAAGUUUGAUUUGAGUCAUUUAUUUUUGAUCUUUUAGUAUUUAUGUUGUAGAUGGGAUUCAUUUGAUCUAAAACAUAGAGGCCAUUAUUCAAUUGCGCCGAACCAUAGAAAACAUUAUUGAGAUAAAAAGAACAACAAUUAUUCUUAAUAAUUAUCUCAAAACCAACUUUGUCUAAACAAGAAAUUGAAAUAAUGUUUUUAGUCAAACUGGGCACAUAAUAACAAUCCUCUAAACAUAAACCAAGUCCACUAGGCAAAGAUAAAUUAUAUGUUCCCACAGCUAAUGCAGCAACUUUUGCUCCAUUUCCAACUCGUAGGUCCACAUCUCCUCUAGCCAAAGUCCUACUCCUUUGCAGUCCCUGUACAGAAGUACAAAUGUGAGAACCACAACCAGUAUCUAAUACCCAUGAAGUAGUAGUUGAUAAAUUAAUAUCAAUAACAUAAAUACCUGAAGCAGACGUUCCGCUUAUUUUGGCCUUCUUGACUUCCUCAAGAUAGAUAGGGCAGUUUCGCUUCCAAUGUCCAGUCACACCACAAUGAAAACAAUUUCCUUCCUUAGCCACCCCUCCUUUAGGUUUCAAUGCAGCCGUAACUUUUCCAGGCUUGGGCCUACCUUUGCCCUUGGGCUUUGUCUGAACUUUGGCCUUUCCCUUGCCCUUAUUAUUACGGACCAUCAGUAUAGGCUUGGGUCCAACCUUUUUCAUGUUGCCUUCAGCAGUUCGUAACAUACUGAGCAACUGUGGCAGAGUCUUAUCAAUUUUAUUCAUAUUGAAAUUGAGGACAAACUGACUGUAGCUAUCUGGCAACGAUUGCAGAAUAACAUUAGUGGCCAACUCUUGGCUCAAUGGAAACCCAAGCUUAGACAGGCUUUCAGUAUAGCCAAUCAUCUUAAGGACAUGAGGUCCUACUGGGCUUCCUUCAGCUAGCUUACAUUGGAAUAGGGCCUUAGAGAUAUCGAACCUCUCUUGCCGUGCUUGCCCCUGAUAAAGUUCUUUCAGGUGCUCAAUCAUUUCAUAAGCAACCAUGUCCUCAUGUUGCUUCUGAAGCUCAGGAUUCAUAGUGGCAAGCAUAAGACAUCCAACGUCUACCAUGUCAUCGAGAUGCUUCCUGUAAGCGUCUCUAUCAACCCUCGAGGCAUUAGUGGGUGGCUCGUUAGGAACUGGUUGUUCAAUGACAUAUAAUUUCCGUUCUUGUUUGAGGACAAUCCUCAAGUUACGGAACCAGUCAAGAAAAUUUAAUCCAUUCAACUUGUCCUUCUCAAGGACCGAUCACAAUGAUAGUGUAUUUGUGUUUGCAGCCAUAAUAUAUCUACAACAAUGAAAUUAUGCGUGUGAAAAUUUAUCAAAUUUAUGUUAAUCAUUAAAAGGACUUAAUUAAAUGAUGUUCCCACUAUUUUACUACAAAACUAAUACCCUGAUACGUUAGUUUCGGAAAGGCUUUCUCGAAAAGCAUUUCAAGUGGGUUAAGGAUCCAUAUUUCACNNNNNNNNNNNNNNNNNNNNNNNNNNNNNNNNNNNNNNNNNNNNNNNNNNNNNNNNNNNNNNNNNNNNNNNNNNNNNNNNNNNNNNNNNNNNNNNNNNNNNNNNNNNNNNNNNNNNNNNNNNNNNNNNNNNNNNNNNNNNNNNNNNNNNNNNNNNNNNNNNNNNNNNNNNNNNNNNNNNNNNNNNNNNNNNNNNNNNNNNNNNNNNNNNNNNNNNNNNNNNNNNNNNNNNNNNNNNNNNNNNNNNNNNNNNNNNNNNNNNNNNNNNNNNNNNNNNNNNNNNNNNNNNNGCCUUAACGAGGGCAAAAUUGGAAGGCUAUGUUGACUUAAUAUUUUAAUAGAGGGAUUUUAUUAAGAUCGUUUCAUCUCACCAAUUAUGGUUUACUAUAGUCCAUUUAGCCAUUUAAUUGAUCUCAUCAAUUCAUGUGGUUUAUUAUUAUCAAAUUUUAACAUGUUUAAAAUUUGGCAUGCUUUAGACAUCCAUAGCAUCUCAUACAUGAAUAAAGCAAUAAAUAAAUGUAAUAGUUAUAGCCCAUAAACUAAGGUGGCGCAACCCAAGCCAAUGGGAGAACCAAAAGGAAAUCUAAAGGUGUAAGCCGGUAUUCAAGCUAUCAGUCCACACUGGUUGGCCCAUCUUCCAUCUCGGCUAGCCCACAGCAACUCUUGCAAAUUACAAUAUGUAGAAACUCGUUUUACAUACGAGGGAGUAAGAUGAGAAGAGAAAUACAAGAGAAUAGUAGCAAGGCACGACACGCAGGCCGUAUUUAUAAAAUUACAACCUUUUUAUCAAAUGGGUUGUUGGGCUAUAACUAAGCAUUUCAAACACCGUGCAUGUCAAAAAUAGCAUACACAAAUAAACACUUUUGUUAAGGUUUAUUAAAACAUAUCCUUUCAACUUUAUGGGCCACCAAGUUUUAUUUGUUAUAUAUUAAAAAAAAAUACUUUAAGAGGAUGGGGGCUGGGGCGGUGAAGGGAGCGACCGAAACUGUCCUCAGAUCCCCAUCCCCAAAAAUACGACAGAAGCCAGGGGUGCGGGGGCGGAGCCCCCGCGGUAUGGAGCAGGGGUGCAGGGCCGGAGCCCCCACGGUACGAACCGCAUACCCCAUUCAAGUAAAACCUCACGAUUUGAUAACUUUUACCAACAUAAUCGUGUUUUCGGGAUUUUAAUCCGUGAGGUUUCAUGCCGGAACAACCCUUGUUCCACUAACCAGUUAACUUUUACUGGAAACUGUCAACACCACCGUCGCACCAUUAUAGAUCUGUUAACACUUAACUGUAAUAACAUAAAACCAAAUAGGCCAUAACAUCAUGAUUAACAUUUAAUCCAUUGUCAAAAGGAACGAUUAUCAGGUUACUAUUAAACGAUUUAAACAGUCGAAAUUUACUAAAAUUAAAGCAUGCAUCUCAUAUAAUUGCAUCACCCAAGUAUUUAAACCCGAGUCCGUAUCACACAAAUGGCUCUAACACCACUGUUGGAUCGCCGGCACCCCUACGGCGCAGCGGAAAAAUUAAAAUCGGUGACCCUAACCAUGGAUCCAUGUGUGAGGAACGAAUCGGGGUGAUCAAGGUUACGAAUUUACCUAAUGUUUAUUCAGAGUAGACAGCAACACCUCAACAACAAGUAGUCUGAUCUGCUGUCGAACCAAAACCGCAAUCAGUCGUGAUCCCGGUCUCUACGUAAUCCACCCAGUUGACUACGAACGGAAGGAAUCCCCAAAACAAUUUUGAGAGUUAUUUUUCUUAUGCGGCUGCUAGACUCAAACAAAGAAAAACGUGAUUAUUUAUAUCCUUUUGUUUUUUAGGGUUUUUUAGGGUUUUUAAGAAUUAAAUANNNNNNNNNNNNNNNNNNNNNNNNNNNNNNNNNNNNNNNNNNNNNNNNNNNNNNNNNNNNNNNNNNNNNNNNNNNNNNNNNNNNNNNNNNNNNNNNNNNNAAUAUACAACUCACGAUGUUGGGAUUAUGAUGAUCUCAAGUCUGAGGAUCAUAUAAAUAUUAAUCAUUAUGAGUAAUGUCGUGACAAUUACAUAAUAAUCCAAGAAACAUACUCAUAACGGGUCAGUCCAAUAUGUUGUUCUCUAACACACAUAUUCAUGUAAUGAUUCUGACAUUCCAUAUCAAUGACAACUCUUUAUCAUCAAUCAACUACACGUUAGUCUUAAUGCAUUAUCGUUGUCCUAUCCAACAAUAAUACUUAACUAAGGAACUUUUAAGAAUAAUCAUAUUAUUCUCAGGACAUUAUUAUAAAACAGUUUAUUUAUAUACACAGAAAAGAAACUGAAAUAAUAAUGGUAACGCCUUAUAUUAAUAAACAUGAUAAAUCAAGUAUGUUAUUGCAACCAUUUCAUGAUUGAUCUUUGGGCAUACUCUAACACUUGAGCCACUGGUGUGCUAACUAUUUUGCAAUUUAACAUGAAAAAUUUGUUUAAGAUCUUCAAGGCAAAGGCCUGCUGACUUAUAAAGAUGGCAUGAUCAAAUUGAUUCACUUCCAUGCUAAGAAAGUAAGUCAUUUCCCUCAAGUCAGUCAUUUCAAAAACAUCUUGUAUCUAUACUUUAAACUCUUCAAUCAGCUCCCUCUUGCUUCCAGUUACUAACAAAUCAUCUACAUAAAGUGAUAGAGGGGUGUGCGCGGACCACGAUCGAAUUGUCAAGUCAUUGGAAAAUCCUACGAAAAAUGAUAGAGACUUGGAUCUGAAACGAAAACAGAAAAUCAAUCUUAGCAGCAAUAGAUCUAUAAAGAAAUGCCACAAAACAAGAAAGAAUCAGACAAUAAUCAAAACACUUAUUAAAAGGGUUGUUUGGAUGCAACGAAAAUGAAAUUAACUUCAAGAAAAAAGAAUCCUCAAGCCGAAUCUAACAAGGAGAACAUAAAACAGCAAAUUAAACUCAAAAACCUAGCAAACAGAAUUGGAUUAGAAGCAGAAUACUUGGACGGCAAGAAAGGAGGAAAAUUAUGAAUUAAAGAACGUUUCUUGAUGCCAAAGAAUGUUGCAAAAUAGAUCCUUGAAGCUUGGAAUGGAUGGAAAUGCAACAAGAAUAAUUAAAUUAAGUUAAUCCACAAAUCGGUAAAAACAAAAACAAUUAAAGAAGGACAAACAACAAGAAAGAUGAAUAAAGUCCUAAGAAGCCUUGAAACCAAGAAAGAUUUCACAACUCCCUUCAAACGGUUCUAAUCUCCCCUCCAAUGUAGAACAACAGCAAGAAGAAGGCUGAAGAUGGCUCCCACAAUCAAAAAGAUUGUUAAAACUACUUCUAAAGAAAACUCAAGAAAGAAUUCUUGGAGAAAACUCAAAGAGAAUUUUUCACACAAUAAAAAUCUGAUUUCAAUGUGUAAUGUCUAAGGGUGGCCGGCCAAGCCAUAUAUAUAGGGCUCCUAACUACUUUCCUAGCCCUAUUAGGAAACUAAAAAAAAACCUAAUUGUUGAAUUUCAAGAGGAGUGUCAUCCAAUGCUUUUAAAUGGGCCUCUUGGACUGAAUUUUUACAUAGAAAUUUAUUCAUAAAGCCUAAAAUUAAAACUAAGUAUUUAAAGAAUUAUAUUCAUAAAGCCUAAAAUUAAAACUAAGUAUUUAAAGAAUUAAAACUUAACAAAUUGGGCCACUUUGACAAUUUGGCCUGAUUUUCAACUAAGUCUAGUUUAAACUUCUUGGUUGGGCUUGGAACAUCUUAUUAGGCCGUACCUUCAAGAACUUGGCUUGUAAUCCGUUCUCUCCCAAAAUUGGUUCGUUGAUGCUCAUAACUAAGAUCCAAUGCGCCUUAGCUGCAAGAUUCAGUUUCUUGGACCAAGAUUUCCAAGAUUUGAAAUCUUGAUUUUCUUGAUUCUUGAAAUCGCUCAAAACAGCAAAAUUGGACCAAGAUUCGGUUUCUUGAUUUUCUUGAAAACAAGAAAGUGAAUCUUGAUUUUCUUUUUCCUUUAUAUACGCAUCUAAGGCCUUGCUAAUGAAGUCUUGAAUGGUUCCAUUUAGUUUCGUACGCAUUUGUCUGGCCUUUGACCUCGUUAUUGGGCCUUGUGGUAAUUUGAGCCCAUCACGUUCUUGAGCUUGAGUUGGGCCUUUGUGACUCGUAUCAUUCCCCCUUCCUCAAAAAGACUCGUCCUCGAAUCUGAAAAAUCAAAUGGAGAUAAGUCAGCCACAUUGAAAGUAGAACUUACAUUGUACUCACCGGGUAGGUCAAUUUUGUAUGCAUUAUCAUUGAUUCGCUCGAGUACUUGGAAAGGCCCAUCGCGUCUUGGGUCCAACUUGGUCUUUCUUUUUGUAGCAAAUCGUUGUUUCCUCAUAUGGACCCAAACCCAAUCUUCGGAUUGAAGGACAACCCGUUUGCGCCCCUUAUUUGCCUUGUUGGUGUUGAUGUCAUUUGUUUUGGCUAUUUGUUGCCUAGCCUUCUCGUGUAAGGAUUUCCCCAGCUCAACUUUCUGUUCGCCAUCUAAAUUAACAAUAUGUUCUAGUGGUAAUGGCGCAAGGUCAAGUACUGUUAGUGGGUUAAAACCAUAAACAAGUUCAAAUGGUGAAUAGCCAGUUGUAGAAUGAAUAGAUCUAUUAUAUGCAAAUUCAACAAAUGGCAAACAUUCUUCCUAAUUUUUAAUGUUCUUUCCCACAACAGAUCGUAAUAAGGCUCCUAAAAUUCGAUUGGCUACCUCAGUUUGGCCAUCAGUUUGGGGGUGACAUGUAGUUGAAUACAGUAAUUUCGUACCAAGCUUACCCCACAAUACCUUUCAAAAGUGGCUAAAGAAUUUGACAUCUCUGUCUGAAACAAUUGUUUUAGGGAUGCCACGAAGUCUUACCACCUCUUUAAAAAAUAAGUCUUCCACAUGGGUAGCUUCAUCUGUUUUGUGACAAGGAAUAAAAUGUGCUAUCUUGGAAAACCUGUCAACAACAAAUAUACUAUCUCUUCCUUUCUUAGUUCGUGGCAAACCUAGAAUAAAAUCCAUGGAUAAAUCUACCCAUGGUGAAGUAGGAAUCGGCAAAGGAGUGUAAAGGUCGUGAGGCAUUACCUUAGAUUUUGCUUGUUUACAUGUGAUGCACUUAGAAGAUACCUUUUCGACAUCCUUCUUCAUAUGUGGCCAAUAGAAGUGUUCUUGCAAGAUUUCUAGUGUUUUGGUCACUCCAAAAUGUCCCAUUAAAUCCCCACUGUGAGCCUCAUGAAUCAAUAAGUCUCGCAUGGAACAAUUUGGUAUGCACAACCUGUUUACACGAAAAAGAAACCCAUCUACAAGGUAAAACUUCUCAAAAGUAGUAUUUCCAAAAUUAUUAUAGAUAUGGCCGAAAUCAACAUCAUCAUUAUAUAACUCUUUAAUAUGUUCAAACCCUAAUACUUUAGUAUUUAAUGUAGUUAUUAAAGCAUAUCGUCUAGACAAAGCAUCCGCAACUACAUUAUCUUUACCUGUUUUAUAUUUUAUCACAUAAGGGAAUGUUUCAAUGAAUUCCACCCAUCGGGCAUGCCAUUUACUUAACUUACCUUGUCCCUUUAACCAUUUGAGGGAUUCAUGGUCUGUAUGUAUUACAAACUCAUUAGGCAGCAAGUAAUGUUGCCAUACUUGAAGUGCACAAACCAAUGCCAAAAGUUCUUUAUCAUAAGUUGAGUAGUUUAAUUGUGCACCAUUCAAUUUUUCACUAAAAUAAGCAAUUGGUUGCUUAUCUUGCAUUAAAAUGGUGCCAAUGCCAAUUCCUGAAGCAUCACACUCAAGUUCAAAAGUAUUAGUGAAAUCAGGUAAUCUAAGAAGAGGAGUAGAACAUAACUUAGCUUUUAGGGUUUGAAAAGCCUUUUCUUGAUUUUCACCCUAUUUGAAACCCACAAAUUUUUUUAUAACCUCUGUUAAGCAGCAAUAGUGGAGAAAUUUUUCACAAAUCGUCUAUAAAAACUAGCUAAACCAUGGAAAGAUCUCACCUCAGUUAUCGAUUUAGGAGUUGGCCACUCCUUGAUUGCCUUAACUUUGUCCUCAUCGACAUGAAUACAUUGAGUACUAACUCGGUUAAAACAAUUAAAACCAUUUGUUGGUGUUUUGACAAAAAAACUAAUGAAAAUUGAAGCAAAGAAAAUGGAUGCAAAGAAAAUGGAUGCAAAGAAAUUUGAAUAAGAAGAAAAACUGAAAAAAUUCUGUUCACACUUCAAAUUAUCAUUAAGUCAAAAACAUAUAGGUUACAAGGUUGUGUUACCCAAUGUGUAAUUGCUCUCACUAAUUACUUGACUAAAGUAAAGCUUAAAUUACACACAAAAUGUAGCUGACAUAUCAGCUGUUACAUCAAAUUGGACAUCAUUCAAAUCAACAACUAAUCCUACUAACUUUAAAAACAAAGUACAAAAGAAGUAAAGCUAGUUACAUAUAAACAAAAUGUUGCUGCUUUACUGGUUGAGCUUCAAUGCUUCUCUGCUGUUGCAUUGUAGGCCAAAGUUUAACACUCCUCAUUAGACUAUAUGCGACAAACACUAAUACUUCUCCUUAAGCAGAGUAAGAAAUAAUUGGCUAGUAGAUAGUGGUUGUGUGAGUGAUAUGACAGCAGAUGCGAGCGUCUUCAAGAAUGUUGACAAAAAGUUCAAUUCCAAGGUAAAAGUUGAAAAUGACUAGUAUAUUAAAGCAGUUGGAAAGGGAGAUGUUUCAAUCAAAACUCCAUUAGGUACUAAACUUGUCACAGAUGUUCUUUUAGUUCCUAACAUAGACCAAAAUCUGCUAAGUGUAGGUCAGCUGCUCGAGAAAAACUAUUUUGUCGUAUUCAAGGACAAAAAAUGUUUAAUUCUUGAUCCAAGUGGACGCGAGCUCAUAUCAACAAAGAUAACAAACUAAAUUUUUGUUGUCAAUUGGAACUUAGCAACUUCAAUAGCAUAUACAACUCACUGGAUGAAACAAAAUUGUGGAAAAAAGAAUGGGACAUGUUGACUACAAAUCCUUAACUCAAAUGUCCAAGAAUAAUUUGGUUGAAAAUUUAUCAAAUAUGGAUGAUCAUGAUGAUGUAUAUGAGCUAUGCCAACUUGAAAAAUAGGUGAGAUCUCCAUUUCCUGCGAACACAGCAUGGCGAACUACUGAAAAAGUACACUUAGUACAUACUAGCAUUUGAGGACCUAUGAGAACAAAAUUGCUAAAUGAAAGUAGGUACUUUGUGUUAUUUAUAGAUGAAAAUACAAGGUUCUAUUAGGUGUACUUCAUGAAGAUCAAGUUCAAAGUGGCUGAAAUCUUAUUUAAGCUUAAAACCAUGAUUGAAAACCAAAGUGAUUGUAAGCUCAAAAUGGUAGGAUCAGACAAUGGGGCAAAAUACACCUCAGAAAAGUUUGAAAAAUUUUGUGAAAAAACUGGUGUCCAUCAUCAACGGAGCAAUGUGUACACUCCAUAACAGAAUGGUGUAAGUGAAAGAAAAAAUAGAACUGUGAUGAACAUGGCUUGCUGUUUACUAUUUGUAAGUAAAUUUCCAAAUGAUUUCUAAACAAAAACAGUAAAUACUGUUGUUUACCUACUAAACAGACUAUAUACUAAAGUGGUUGAAACAUCAUUCGAGGCUUGGUAUGGUUUUAAACCUUUUGUUUCACAUUUAAAAGUAUUUGGUUGCACUUGUUUUGUUUAUGUUCUAGAAUAAAAAAAAAAGCAAGCUAGACAGUAGAUCGUAGUCAGGGAUAUUUGUUGGAUAUUCUAGUGUUAAGAAAGGAUACCAAACCUAUAAUUCUUUCACCAAGAAAGUGAUCAUAAGCAGAGAUAUGAAGUUGGAUGAAAGAAAAAUGUUGAAUUGUACUGCAAUAGAGGAGAUGUGUGAAAAAAUGGGGUCUAACACAUGAUUUGUGAACCACUGGGAACCAAAAUGAAAAUGUUGCAGUUGAUCAACAAACAGUGUCAGGAACCAGGUCCAUCACUAAAAUCUAUUAACAGUGUAAUCUGGCGAAGUUAGAACCAGUCAAUUUUGAAGAAGCUACUCAAGAAGCUGAAUGGCUAUCAGCCAUGAAUGAAAUCACUAUGAUCAACAAAAAUAAGACAUGAAAGUUGGUAGAUAGACCAAUUCACAAGAAAGUAAUUUGUGUUAUACGGGUGUUCAGAACCAAGAUGAAUCCUAAUGGAUCAGUCACCAGAUAUAAAGUGAGGUUGGUUGUGAAAGGGUUUAGCCAGCAAUAUGGAGUGGACUUCAUUAAAACCUUGGCUCCUGUUGCUAGGUUAGACACUAUAAGACUACUACUGACUCUUGCCACUCAAAAGGGUUGGAGGAUACAUAAAAUAGAUGUAAAACCAGCCUUCUUAAAUGGCUUUCUAAAGGAAUAAAUUUAUGUCGAACAACCUCAAGGGUUUUCAAUACCUAGAUACGAGGCUAAGGUUUACAAACUACACAAAGCGUUGUAUAGCUUGAAGUAAGUAUCAAGAGCGUGGUAUGAAAGAAUUGAUAAUCACCUGACAAAAAUGGGUUUAAAAGAAGCAUCAGCGAGCCCACUUUAUAUGUGAAAAAAACUGAUAAUGAAAUACUUCUCAUUAUUUCAUUAUAUGUUGAUGAUUUACUUGUGAUUGGCAGUAAUAACAAACUGGUGACUGUAUUUAAAGAUCAGAUACGAAACAAGUUUGAAAUGUCAGACUUAGGUAAACUGACAUAUUGUUUCGGUCUAGAGGUGAAUCAAGCUAAUGAUGCAAUCUUCAUAAACUAGAAGGGGUUUGCAAUAAAAACACUGCGAAGAUAUAGCAUGGAGAAUUGUAAACUUGCAAUGAAGAUGUUGAGAAGGUUUUUGAAACAAGUUACAGAAGCUUGGUGAGAUGUUUGCUUUACUUGACAACAUUUAGACUUAACAUAAUGUUUGUUGUAAGUUUGUUGUCAAGGUACAUGCAUUGCUGCAAUGUGAACCACUACAAAGUAGUAAAAAGAGUUCUACAGUACAUAAAAGGAAUUCUAGAUCAUGGAGUGAAGUUUAUGAGGACUAAAAAGGUCAAGCUACUUGGGUAUUCAGACAGUGAUUGGGCUGGAUCCAUUAAAGACAUGAAUAGUACCUCAGGUUAUUUCUUUAUUAUAGGAUCAAGUAUGUUUUGUUGGAGCUCGAAGAAACAAGAAUUAGUGGUGCAGUUAACUACAGAAGCUGAGUAUGUUGCAGCAGCAGCAGUUAUAAAUCAAGCUAUUUGGUUAAGGAAACUGCUGAAUGAUUUAAAUUUGAAACAAGAAGAAGAAACAAAGAUUAGGUUUGAUAAUCAAUCUACUAUUGCAAUUACAAAAAAUCAGAUAUUUCAUAGAAGAACAAAACACUUCAAAAUCAAAUAUCACUUUGUGAAAGAAGUGGAACAAGCCAAGUAACCUUGGUACAUUACAGUUCAAAAGAUCAAUUGACUGAUAUUUUAACAAAAGCACUUGGAAAGAUGAUGUUUGAAAAGCUGCGUUAUGAUAUUGGAGUUCGAAGCAUGGAGGCUAAAGAGGAGUGUUGUGAAAUUACCAUCCAUUCGAAUUGCGGAUUGCGAGCUCACCAAAAUUGCAAGCUCACCAAAAAAUGUGAGCUCACCAAACUUGAGAGCUCACCUGCAAGCUCUUCAUUCUACAAGUUACCAACUUGCACUGAAACAAUAUCUUUUUGAUUAGACAUUAGCAGUUGAUUAGACUGAAACCAACUAAUGAAAAAGAAAGUUAUAUGAAUCUAGUUACUAGAUUAAACCAAAUUGUAAUUAUUUUAUUAUUAUUUUUAGAUUAUUUAAGCCUUCUUAUUCCUGUAAACAUUGCAAUUAGUUUUUAAUGAAACAAUAGUUAAAAAGCUGAUUCUUGUUCAAAAUUUUUUAUUCUAUUUGCUUCUGUUUCAAAUUUUCCUUCAUCAAAUAUCCAACAUGGUUGGCCAACACAUGAAUGUUGGAAAAUAUAUUUCUUUUAAUACAUUUAAAAAACUGGUUAAAUUUUCUUAAUGGUGCUAGGUUGCCAUAUUGCUUCUUAUUGAGAUCACACCAAAGAGUAUAGCUGUUCACAAUCCCGCAGAAGUUGCUCGAUUUGUGGUAAGCUUUUUCUGAUAUUCACCCACAUCUGGGUAUUUAAUUCCGCUAUGAGCCAGAUGUGUGGUAAAUAGCACUAGCUUUUUCUCUUAUAUUUCAUUCUAUAUGCUUCAUGGCUCUCAUGGUACUUUGGGAAAGUAAGUGGUUGCAAUAUUUCUAGGUCAGGCCAGUGACAUGGCUUUCUGUAAUACUAUAUCCAAUUGGAGGAUUUGUCACAUAUCUAUCUAUGGAAAUGCUCAAAAUUCUUGGUUUAAAAGGAAAAAAGUGAAGAAAACAAAUACUUGCUUUUAAUCUAUCUGCAAUUGCUAAAUCAUCAUAAUGUUUCAUUUUUGUUUCUUUCCAAUGGUUUGUCAACAUAUGCCAACAUUGUUUUAUAUGCUUUUGGAAUGCCUUCUGCAUUUUCUCUUUUUCCUUAGUGAACUUUAUGUUACUGAAGAUGAAUUGAAGCUAAUGUUGCGAGGGACAGAGUUGAAUGGAGCAAUAGAGGAGGAGGAACAGGUAACCCAUAUACAUCACUCAUUUCAUAAGUAUUUAUGCUUAAAUCUUAUUGAGUAUUUGGUUGACACAUAUAUUGUAUUUGUAAUAGAUAUUUUUCUAUUACCUUCUUUUCUAUAACCUUAGACCAGUAGGUCUUCAUAUGCACCCAAAUAAAAUUUCCUUUGCUUCCCCUUCUAUAUGUUUUGCUCAGAUGAAAAUUUUAGUGCAACAAACAUUAUUAACUCGUUGGCUCCUUGAUAAACACAAUAGAUCUAAAGAUAUCUUAUUUGUUGUUAUAAUAGUCUUUAUGGAAAACUUUAUUCACCAUGGAUAUGUCAAUCUAUGACGAUUGAUUCUAAGUUAUCUACAAUGAGUUCAAGCUCUCAAUGUUCAUAUUACCUCCCCACCUCCCCCCAAAAAAAUUGUUCAUCUUUCUUUGUUUUUUAUUCCAGUGCUCUUAUAUAUUGGAAUCCUUCACAGGAUAUGAUUGAAAAUUUCUUAGAGACAAAAGAUACCCAUGUUAGAGAGGUGAUGACACCUCUUAUUGAUGUUGUUGUAAUUGAUGCAAGCUCAACUCUUGUUGAGUUCCACAAUUUAUGGUUAACUCAGGAAUAUUCAAGGUAGAUAGUCUACAUGAACUUUCUCCUAAGUUCUUUUUAAUUUAAAAUAACUUGUUAAAAGAUUUUUGACAUUUUUGCAAGGUGCCCAUUUUUGAGCAGCGUGUUGAUAAUAUAGUUGGCAUUGCAUAUGGUAUGGAUCUACUAAACUAUGUUGCCAAGGUAAGAGAAUUUCUACUCUCUUUUUUCCAAUUUUAUCAUCAUAAAUUUUUAGCUUAUGAAGUAUGCAACAAUAUCAUUGUGCACAACAUUAUAACUUGUUUGAUUUUGAAGGGUGAACUGCUAGAAAGUACUACUGUAGGAUAUAUGGCUCACAAACCUGCAUACUUUGUGCAUGGUAAUUUUUAAGCUUAGUUUCUUCAGUUAAUUCUAUGCUUUAAGUUAAAAUGCAGCUGGAUUUUACAUGUAUUCCUUGGCAUCUAUUCAGCCAAAUGGUAUCUAUCACUUCUGUUUAUUAUCAUUCAUUAACAUGUUUUUGUCUACAUGUCAUUAUAGAUUAUAUUCUGAGAACCUAUUACAAAAAGAAUUAUACAAUUUAUUUUACAGAUUCAAUGUCAGGCUGGAAUUUUCUUAGAGAGUUUAGCAUUAGGAAGGUUCAUAUGACUGUUGUUCUUAAUAAGUAUGGUGGAAUUGUUGGAGUAUGUGCUAUAAUUUAAAUCAUGAAUUGGUUUUGGUUUUUAGAUUUGUAUUCUUGAAUGAGUCUUAUUGUCUAGAUGUUGAAGAACUUCAAAGUAAGAUGGAUUUUUGUUAAAACUAUUAAAGUUGGCAAACUUGUGGCAUAAGGAGCAGCCAAUGAAGAAAUCAUGCAGUUAGAGCCAGAGCCAAACAGAUGCAGUUGAAGGCAAUGCAGCUGUUGAUUUUUUUUUUUGUUCAUUUUGUAACCUUAGUUUGAUGUCUGAUGUAAUUUGAUGGUGAUUGAACUGUUAACUCAGCUUUCUUUAUGUGUCCAAGCUUGGUUUACUAGGUUUCAAUGUAUAGUGGUAGUAGGUAUUGAUUAGAUGACCAUAUACUGAUUUUGACAAGUUGAAUGCUUGGUUUAUGUAUUGCCAUUAUGCCAUUAUUUCCAUUUUUAGAAUGAAUUCCAUUAGAUUUCUUUAGAUGUUGAGGUGGUCAACUUAGAUGUUGAACCUGCACCACUUAGAGCCAAUCCAACUGUGGCUCAAAUCAGGCAGCAUGCUAAUAAAAUGACCAAGAGGCACAAGGUCAUUUCUUGCAUUCAAAACUGUGUGUUAGAUGUGAUCUUUACAAGAAUCAUGGCCUGUGAGACACCAAAGCAGGCCUGGGAAAAAUUAAAAGAGAAGUUCCAAAGAACUGAGAGAACAAGGCAGCAACAGCUAUUGAAUUUGAGAAGGGAUUUCGAGAACUUGAAGUUGAAGGAGGAAGAAAUAGCCAAGCAGUAUUCAGAUAGGAUUAUGGUUGUGAUAAAUAACAUAAGGCUUCUUAAAAAGCAUUUCAAUGAAGCAAGAAUAGUGGAGAAGGUGAUCUCAACCUUACUUGAGAGGUAUGAGGCAAAAAUAUCUUCCCUCGAAAACUCAAGGGACUUGACCAACAUCUCAUUGACAGAGCUGAUCAAUACUCUUUAUGCACAAGAGCAAAGAAGAGUCGGCAGGCUAGAGAAGCACCAAGAAGGUGCCUUCCAAGCAAAAACUAAACCUGCAUCGAGCAGUUCUACCUACAAAGGCAAAAAAAAUUGGAGAGACGAGCCUAAGUCAGAUGCUGCAAGAAAAAGGGAUCAACCCUGCAAGCAUUGCAAAAGGUCCGGUCAUUCAGAAGCCAAUUGUUGGUUUAGACUAGAUGUGUAGUGUCAAUACUACAAAAAGACGGGUCAUGUUGAAAAGGUUUGCAAAAGCAAAGGCAGACCAAGACAGAACCAACCAAAACAGCCAAAGGCUAAAGCUCGAGUAGCAGAAGAAGGAAGUGACCAUGAAGAGCAAGUUUUUACAGUUUCAUACUCAACUACUAAAGAAAAGGCCACAAAGGGAUGGCUCAUAAACAGUGGUUGCACCAACCAUAUGACACCAGAUGCUGCCAUCUUCAAGCCAAUUGAUAGAAGUUUCAAAACAAAGGUGAAAGUAGGUAAUGACCACUUCAUCAAGGCAGAAUGUAAAGGGGAUGUGAUGAUAAGCACCCCCACACGUAACAAGCUUGUUUCAAAUGUGUUGUUGGUUCCUGAGAUUGACAGAAAUCUGCUCAGCAUGGCUUAACUGCUAGAGAAAGGAUAUUUUGUUGUGUUUAAAGGCAAUGAGUGCCAAAUUAGUGAUUCAAGUAGAUCUAGGCUCAUGUCCGUCACUAUGGCUAAUAAAAGCUUUGUUGUUGACUGGAAAAAUGACUCAAACUCAGCCUACAUAGCCUCAUUAGAUGAAUCCAAGCUUUGGUACCAAAGGUUUGGUCAUGCCAACUAAAGAUAGAUAGACCAGCUAACCAAAGAAGAUCUGGUUGAGAACUUCAUCAAAUCAGUUGAAAAUGAGGAGGUUUGUGAGGUAUGUCAGCUAGGAAAGAAGGCCAGGCUGCCAUUUCCUUCAAACAAGGCCUGGAGAGCCACAAAAAGGCUGCAGCUUGUACACACUGAUGUGUGUGGCCCCAUGAAGACUCAGUCAUCGAAUGGCAGCAGAUAUUUCAUUCUGUUUAUUGAUGAUCACUGAAGAUUUUGCUAGAUUUACUUUUUGAAGUAUAAACCAGAGGUGGCCUUAGUGUUUUGGAAGUUCAAGGCUACUGCAGAGACUGAAACAGGCUGCAAGCUCAAGACCCUAAGGUCUGAUAAUGGAAUUGAGUACACCUCAACUCAGUUUUAAGCCUUUUGUGAUGAAGCAGGCAUCAAACACCAGCUCACCAAUACCUAUACUCCUCAACAGAAUAGUGUUAGUGAAAGUGAAAGAAAGAAUAGAAGCUUGAUGGAUAUGGCCAGGUGUUUGAUGUUUGAGAAGAAUUUGCCCAAAACAUUGUGAGCUAAGGCAGUUAACACUGUUGUGUAUAUCCAAAACAGACUCCCAACCAAGGCAUUGGCUCACAAAACUCUAUUUGAGGCCUGGUUUGGGUUCAAACCAUCACUGGCUCACUUGAGGAUCUUUAGUUGUAUAUGCUAUGCACAUGUUCCAGUUGUGAACAGGACAAAUUGGCAAAAAGGGCUCAACCUGGCAUUUUGGUAAGCUACAGCACAAUCAAAAAGGGUAUAGGAUCUUGGAUCCUUCAGCAAACAAGGUGGUUGUGAGUAGAGUUGUGGUAUUUGAUGAGAUGCCAAGCUAGAACUAGGGAAGAAAGAGCCAGAGGUAGUUUCUAAAGACCUUGUAGCAAAUCAGACUGAAUCUUAUUAGAAUGGUCCUGAAAUGGACAUUGAUGAUGAACCAGUCAGGGGCACUAGACCAUUGGAUGAGAUUUAUAAAAGAGCUCAAGUAGCCAUAGUGGAACCAAUCUUCUUUGAAGAGGCUGAAGCUCAACAAGGCUGGAAACAGGCAAUGGCUGAUGAAAUCAGUAUGAUUGAGAAGAAUCAGAAUUGGGAACUAGUUGAAAGACCAGCCAACAAGAAGACCAUUAGAGUGAAAUGGGUCUAUAGAGCCAAACAUAAUGCUGAUGGAAGUUUCAACAAGUUGAAAGCAAGGUUAGUUGUGAAGCGGUUUAGCUAAAAUUAUGGCAUAGACUAUCUAGAGACCUUUAUACCAGUGCCCAGGCUUGACACCAUCAGGCUGCUAAUUGCCUUAGCAGCACAAAUGUAGUAGAAAAUUCACCAACUCGAUGUGAAGUCAGCCUUCCUCAAUGAAUUUCAUGAAGAAGAUAUCUAUGUUGAACAACGUCAAGGUUUCAAAGUGGUUGGUAAGGAAGACAUGGUUUACAGAUUGAAGAAAGCCUUGUAUGGCUUGAAACAGGCACCAAGGGCCUGGUAUAGCAGGAUUGAUAGCUACUUGGUCAGUUUGGGAUUUGAAAGGAGCACUAGUGAGCCAACAUUGUAUGUUAAGAAGGAAGGAGAGCAAACUUAGCUCAUUGUAUGUUAAGAAGGGCCUUGUAUGUUGAUGAACUGUUGGUGACAGGAGGAGACCAAGCAAUACUGAUUGAUUUCAAAGCCAAAAUGCAACAGAUGUUUGAGAUGUCUGAUCUAGAAAGGAUGACUUAUCUUCUUGGUAUGGAGGUGACACAAACACAGGAUGGAAUAUUCUUAAGUCAGAAAGCCUUUGCCUCCAAAAUUUAGACCAAAUUCUCUAUGCAAAACAGUAAGGCAACAAGCACUCCAGUUGUCAUGGGAGAAAAACUAUCAACCCAAGGCAAUUUUGAGUAGAUUAGUGAAACAGUUUAUAGGAGCUUAGUUGGUUGUUUGCUAUACUUGACUGCCACUAGGCCAGACGUUAUGUUUGCUGUAAGUUUACUCUCAAGGUUAAUGCACUGUUGCAAUUAGAAGCAUUUUCAAGCUGCAAAAAGGGUGCUCAGGUAUAUAAUGGGUACCCUGAGUUAUGGAAUGAUGUAUAGCAAAGCUGAAAGCUUGAAAUUGGUUGGCUAUACUAAUAGUGACUGGGCUGGUUCGAUGGAUGACAUGAAGAGCACCUCAGGGAAUGUUUUCACCCUUGGAUCAACUAUAUUUUGCUGGAGUUCAAAAAAGCAAAAUCUUGUUGCUCGGUCAACUGCUGAUGCAGUAUAUGUAGUAGUUGCUGAAGUUGUGAACCAAGGUGUUUGGCUAAGAAAAAUCUUGGCUGAUUUGAAUCUACACCAAAGGGAAGCAACAGAAAUAAUGUGUGACAAUCAAUCUGCUGUUGCAAUUGCAAAGAAUUAGGUUUUCCAUGGAAGGGCAAAUCACUUCAACAUCAAGCUUCAUGUUGUCAGAGAAAUGGAGCAAGCACAGGAAGUGAAACUGGUUCAUUGCAGUUCAAAAAAGCAGUUGGUUGACAUUUUGACAAAAGCCCUUAGUGUGUCAAGAUUCAUGGAAUUGAGAAUGCAAAUGGGAGUUUGCAACAUGCUAGCCAAUGAGGAGUGUUGAAGUUGGCAAGCAUGUGGCACAAGGAGUAGCCAAGGAAGAAAUCAUGUAGCUGUUGAUUUUUUUUUUUUUCAUUUUGUAACCUUAGUUUGAUGUUUGAUGUAAUUUGAUGGUGAUUGAACUGUUAACUUAGCUUUGUUUAUGUGUACAAGCUUGGUUUACCAAGUUUCAAUGUAUUAGUGAUAGUAGGUACUGAUUAGUUGACCAUAUACUGAUUUUGACAAGCUGAAUGCUUGGUUUCUGUAUUGGCAUUAUGCCAUUAUUCAUUUUUUAGAAUGAAUUCCAUCAGAUUUCCUUUUAUAUACUCUCCAUUUUUCUUUAUUUUUGUUUUUAAUUUUGUUCUUGAAUUCUGUUUGCUUCUUUUGCAAGUCUCGAGCCUUGUUGCUCAAGACUCAACCAAACUUGCUUGCACAUUGUUCAUAACACCAACAAAAACUGUGGUUUGCACAUAUUCAUGUUUUAUAUAGAAGUGUUGACAUAGCGUAGCUAAUAAUAUUCUGCUCUAUUCCCACUUAAACUAGAAUCAAAUAAUUUGUAUGGCAUAAUUUAAACUUAUUUUGUAUACAGUAUUAAUAUGAAACUGAACACAAACAUGUUUACCUGCAAUUGAAUUGAAUGAGUUGUCAAAUGUUCCAAAGUCCCUUUAACUCUUGUUAGAAAAUCAGGUGAGAUUGGAAUCUGCAAUAUGCUUAAAUCUAGCAAACUCCAACAGAAACAAAUAUGCAUUUAUACCUCCCUCCCUCUUGCACCAUCAUUCGAUUAUGCACUGUAUAUUAAUUUAUAUCUUCUUUUCUAUUUUGGAGCAGAUAGUCACCUUGGAAGAUGUGGUUGAGGAGAUUGUUGGUGAAAUAUUCGAUGAAAAUGAUUCUAAAGUAGGGCUUGCUACAUCUUUUCCCAACUUUGCAUUGAUUAUGUUAGCAUUGCAUUCAGAAAGAUUUGGUGGUGGAAUGAGGAUCAAAUAAUACUUAUAUCAACCAUGCUAUUAAUACAUAUGUGGACUUCAUUUUCAAGUUUAUAUGAUUUUACAUUUUUCCUGCUAUGACAGGAGGAGAUCCAGAAGAAAACUGGCUAUAUUGUAAUGCGAGCAGAUGGGGUCUUUGAUGUUGAUGCUAAUACUUCUAUUUAUCAACUUUCUGAAGAUCUAAAUAUCAAAUUUCCAGAAGUAAGCUACUUCUAUUACAUAUUAUUUAUAUAAAUCCUCAUGCAUAAGCUUUCAUUCUACCUGCAGAUGUUUGCUAGAAUAGUUUAAAUGUUCAUAAAUAUGCAUUUCAAUGUUAAAAUCGUGAUUUUCCAUUCAUAUGGAAUAUCUGUAUUAGAGGAAAAGGAACUACAAGUUGGACCUCCCAUCAGAGUAUGAAGAACUGGAUCCACAAAUAUAAAGUGUAUGCUUGUCAAAUAAAUAUAUUUCGUUUUUGCUGUUUUUUAGGAACAUCAGUAUGAGAAAGUGUCAGGUUUUGUCUGUGAGGCCUUUGGAUAUAUACCAAGGACAGGUGAGAGUAUUAAGGUAGUCCUUGAAAAGGAGGACGAAGAAGAUGAUGAGGAUUCUGAAGCUGGAUCUGAUCAUCAUGAUUCCAAGGAAAGGCAUCAAAUUUAUAAACUCGAGGUACGAUAUUCUUUUGCCACAUGCAUUUGUAUUGCAUAACAUUGCUUUUGAAUAUUGUUCCUCAAAAAGAGUUAGUUGCAUACAUACAAAAUGAAUGCAGUUAGAACUAAUGCGUUCUGGAUUACGAAUAAUCAGAAUCUCUAAAACAAGUAAACGAAAUGUAAAAAACAUUUUGCCAUUGGAAUUAUGAUGAACUUUAUUCAUUACGAUAUUUUCCUUAUAAAUCAGUUUCUUUUUACCUUAAUGGCAAACGAAUCUUCCUUCUUUUGAGACGAAUCAUUCAAAUUUCGAUAUUCUUCUGAGAUAUUGUGGGACUGAUUGUUGUACUCAAUCACAAUGAAAGCAAACAAGAAUGCUCACCUUCAAGAAAAUGGUCAUAGAAUAUAUGUUACAGAGUUCAGUAAAGCUAUUAUGAAGGAAACACUGAUGAGCACUUGCCAUGGCAUCUCUUCUUCAUGCUGGAUGUAGACUAAAGCUUCUUUUUUUUUACUUAAAUACAUCUUCUCUGUCAAGUUUUGUAUUGAUUCAAAAUGUUUAUAAGGCCAAAACUUAAUCAACUGUAUUACUAACACUUUAAUGUGGGCAAUUUGUGUUUGGUGCAGAUAUUGGCAGGAAAUGCCCGAAAAGUAAGUGCCGUUAGAUUUGAAUGUAUAAACAAUGAGGAAUUUCUAUUAGAUACCAUGGAGGUAACUCCAAAGGUUCCAAAAAUCAUGAAGAGGAAACGAAGCAAUGAUGAAGACUCAAAUAAUGGUAACAAUGGUGAAGAAGAUGCAUUUGGAAAGAGGCAAGAGGAUGACCUCUCAGAUCACUACAUAACUGCUGAUCAUAAUGAGAAUAAAGAAAGUCCUUAUGGACAGUAGUUAUAUAUAUUACACUAUUUCUUUUUAUCUCAUUCCCCCCCCCCCACCUCCGGAAGGCUGCCCUUUUUCCCUUACCAUUUUCUUACAGGUCCAUAAGAAGAUGUAAAGACUCCAAAAACUGGAGAACGAAACAAAAAUAUGAGAAUAGACUAACAUUGUACAGUUGUUCACAGAUGAAGUGAUGUGUCAACAUCUGAGUCAUUAAAGGUAGAUGUAUGCAAGACCAUAUCUCUCUGCUGUAAGUUCGACAAUAUCGGAGUCUCAAGAACCUGACGUCGAAUUUGCAUGCUAGAUUCACGGUGUACAGAUCCUUGGAGAGGUGGUCUAGGCUGAAGGAUCAAUUCGGAAUGGAAAAACAAUUGAGAUGCUACAUUCGGUGUGCCUUGAUUGAUCCUCUCCGCUUCAGAUAGCAACCGUAAAACCUCUCUUUCCUGCCUCAAUUCCUUAGCUCUCUGCAACCGUCGGAACCUCUCUUGCAAGAGAGCAAUGGAAGAAUGAACAGCUGGUUCACUCUGCCUUCCCAUCCGAAAUUAAACUAGAGCCUAUCAAUGGUACUGAGGAGAAUGCUCAUAAGGUGAUCUGAGGUUGCUUUAUUCUUAUAUAUAUAGGACAUUUAUAAGCUUUAAAAGCGUUAAUCUAUUCAAUGUAAGCCCCUUCAAUUGAUUUUAAUGAUGUAGAAGGAAGGAAAAAAAAAGCAGAAUCGGCCGCUGAGAUGUAAAGUCCAAGCAGGCAGAGUUAUGUUGCAAUAUGUUGAGGUAAAAAUAGAUGAUAGGAAGAAAAGGGUGUGACAAAAAAUCCAAACUGAGAUGGAAUGUAGCAUUUGGAUGUGAUUCUUUUUGCAGAAUUAAAGGAUGGUUGAUUCUCUGUCGGCUUGUUGCCAAGAGCUAUUGGCCUUUCAACAAAGAUGAGUGUCCCUUUUUUGGUGGGGGAUCUUCUUAUAUUAUUUUCACCUUUCAACCUUCUAUUCACUUUUGUUGAUCACAUUAGUUUUCGAGUUCGAAUUUUAGUAUCUAUAAUUUUUUUUUCGGAAAAAAAUGAUGACAAAGAGUUGAAGUAGAGAAUAUAUUUUGGACAUUGGAGUUGGAUGGUUUUCUCUAUGCAAGCCCUUUCAUUGAGAAAAAAGAAGCCUCUUUUUUCCUAUUUCUCUCUCUAUCUCUUUUUCAUGUAGUAUUUUGUCAUGAAGUUGUUGGAUAGAAAUGGGUUGGAAGGAGAAAUGUAUAGUUUUUGGAUUCUUUCAAUGGCCAUCGUUGUUGGAACACUCUUGUCUUUGAACUUAAUUGUUGGAAGAGUGGGCGCAAGCUAAAAAGCAGCCUACCCUCCCUAGAUAUCUCAUGGAAUUUAGCUAAGUAUAUUUUGCCUUUUAGCCUGCCCAAAAUCAUGAAAAAGUUGAAUUUGGGUGGUGCAACUUUUUUUUUCAACUUUCUCUUGUCUUGGACCUCAGAUAUCAAUGGUGAUAUUGCUGACGAAUUGUACUGUGUUCCAUAUUAGUGCAAUUAAUUUGUGUGACUAAUUGUUGUUUUGAUUCUUUAUUAAGUUUGAAUUGUUUGUAUUUGACACGUUAAAACUUAAAUAUAUAAUUCUUCAAAUUAUUUAUUAAAAAUGUUUAAAUAAAAAUGAACUUGGGAGAUGAUGAUUAAAAACAUAGGUGGCAACAUUAUGCCAAUUGAGCCAGGCUAUUGAUUGUCUCAUAGUGGAGAAUUACUAGCACAAACAAGUUCUUGAUUUUUGGAUUUAGUGUAUGUUGUCAUUAUAAAAAAUUUAAAUAAAAUGUUUUGACAAUGAAUGGGUCUAUCUAAAACUAGAAUUCAGCUCAUGAUUUUCAACACAAGUUUUAUAGAUUUGAAUAAGUUUAAUAUUUACUCAUAUUUUUUAUUAUAUAUUAAAAAUCUUAUUUAUUUAAAUUUAAUUAUAAGCAACAUUUAAACAUAAAUAUAAUUUUUCAAUAUUAUUUCGAAAUAAAAUUUGUUUUUCUAUCUACGCAAUCAAGGUUUACAAAUCGAUGGUUGAAAUAGUCAAAUCAUUAGUUCUCGGUUCAACUGGUUUGAUUAAUUCAUCUAGUUUAACUGAAUAAAUUAUUAAAUAUUAAAAAAAAACAGUUCAAUCGAUUCACAAGUUAACUAAUCCAACCUUUUAUUUCGUAUUGAUUCUUAAUUCAGCUCGUCCAAUGCAAUUCCAAAAUCAGUGAACUCAACUAAACAAGAGUUUUGGAAUGAACUUUUUAGAGUACACUUCCAUAAACUCCAAUUACACCAAACAUUUAUUGGUUUAUACAUAUUAUUACAAUCUUUUAAAUAUUUUAUGUAAUUAUAUAAAAUAUUUUUUAAUUAUACAAAUUGUAAUACCUAAUUUUAGCCCGGGCUCACAAUAAUAAAAUAAAGUCUAAGUCCAGUACAAAAUUAUAUCAUUUGGCCCGAUCAGAAUGGCCCAUUACUUAAAAAGGUUGAAGGUCCAUCUACAAGCUUAUGGAAACAUAAUCUUCAAGGAUAUGCAAUCUUAGAUAUGAUAUGCAAUCUUAGAUAUGAUAUAUGCAAUCUUGGAUAUAAUAUGCAAUCUUGAAAGAUAUGAUUUUGUAAUCUUAGAGAUUUAAUUUGUAGAUACCCUUUAAUCUUAGCCGUUGAUGUAAUUGAUUUGUACCGCUGGAUUUGGGGAGGCUCAACUAUAAAUAGAGGCCUCUCCCUUCAUUGUGGAGGAAGAAAAAAAAUCAAUAAAAAAAAGGGAGAAUGAUUGUCAGUUUUUUAAAGGUGGCUUACUGUUUUUUUAUUAUUUUUACUUAUUUACGAUUUUAAAAAAUGGAGAAGGUGAUACCAUUGCGAAUUUUAUUUAUUUUUUUAGCCCUAAUAAAGUGACGCGUUUCAAAGGAUGGAGAUAUUUUCCCAUUCGAGCCCUAUGAGUUAUUCGCGCCUUUUAAUUGGGCCCUUCAUUUUUUUUUCUUUUAAUUCUGUUUGGAGUUCAAUUUAAAUCCUUGUUAAUUCAAUGUGCUUGAUUUCUUACACCACUAUUUUUAAAAAAAAAUAUAUAUAUUUAAUUUUGAAUCUAAUACUAUUUUAAUGAUUAAGCUUAGUAUUUUUCAUUUAUUUUACAUUUUAUAUGUAUUAUGGCUAUAAGUUUAUUGAAUUAUAUGUAUAUAUUACCCUUUUUAAAAAAUUAUAAUGUAUCAUUAUUUUGAAAUUCAAUAUAUAUUGCUAUUAUUUCGAUUUAUCACACUUUUUUAUAUUUUAGGUAAAUUCAACAUGAUUUGUAUAUAUUUUUUGAUAUUCCUAUUUUGUAAUAUAUUUUCGAAAUUCACUUUACAUAUUUAUAUGUCUUAAAGAUUUAUAUGAAAAUGUUUUUAUACAAUACUAUUUUAUAUAUACAUAUAUAAUUUGUAAUAAAUUAUUUUUAUUCUAUAUAUUAUUGAUUUCAUAUUAUUUUAUCUAUUACCCUUAAAUUCUCUCUUAAAUAGGUUUAUGUAUUUUCUUUCGAAUUCAUUUAUUAUUUAUCAUUCAUUAGUGUAUGUUUUAUUUACGAAUUAUCGCUCCAUGUUGUAUAUUAUCAUUUAUCGCAUUCUAUUCGCUUAAAAGGCUAUGUUCGAUAUCAUUCAAGCAUCAAAAUCAUUUUAUUCAAAAAUUUUUAAAAUUGAGAUAAUACUCAUAUUUAGGAUUUUCAAGGAAAUUGAGCCUUAACGUAUUGGGUUCCGAUUCUCUUCGUUAAAUCUAACGAUCGAGAGUUGCUCAUUAGUCAAAAAAUAAAAUGAAAAGCUUGUUGUCGGGAAUUUAAUAUGUUGUAUCCUAACGUAUUGGAUGUGACGUAUUAAUUUCUCGAGACAAAUAUUUUUUUAAAAAAUGAUAACAAAUGAAAUAUUCCAAGUUUAGGAUUUUGAGAAAUUGUGCCCUAACGUAUUGGGCCGCGAUUUCUUAAAUCUUAAAUAAAUGGAUAUUCUUUUAAAUUUUUAUUAUAAGAGUAUUUUGGACUAAAUCAUUUUUGAGGAAAUAGAAUGUCGUGCCCUAACGCAUUGGGUGUGACAUUUUCUUUCUCUGAAAUGGUAAGAGUCUUAAUCAGAAACGUUUUUUAAUUUUUAUUAAGGAUCAUAUUUUUAAAUUUUCGACAUUAAGACACUAAUUAAUUAACUAGGUACCAAUUUUGGGAGUUACGAGGGUGCUAAUCCUUCCUCGUACGUAACCAACUCUCGGUUCCAUUUUUCUAAAUCUCGUAGACCAAAGCUAUUUUUUAGGUGAUCCAAUCACACCUCAAUAAAAGAUUGGUGGCGACUCCCAAUUUUUGUUUUUUUUUUUAAGUCGACAACUAAUUUUUGUUUUUUUUCCAAAAUAAAAAAAUGGUUUCGACAGCUUGGCGACUCCACUGGGGACUUUUUUCAAAAAAGAGAGUCGAGCCACAAAGUUGAUUAAUUUUUGUCUUAUGGUCGAGAAAAUAUUUAAAAAAAAAUUCAUGAGAUACUUUUGCAUUCAUUAUUUUCUUGCUUGAUUUUGAUUUAAAUAUUGUUUGCAUUACACAUUACAUGAGUCGAAUGAUUUUACCCUUCUAAGUGGGAGUGAGAAACUAUUUCUUCGUGAGGUUUUCACCUCCGUAUAGGAUAGUGGAUCGCUUUCGGAGUAUAUCGGUACCUAUGCCUUCGUGAGAUUUUCAUCUCCGUAUAGUCAUAGGGAAAAUGUAUUCCCCUGAACCGAACUUGAUCUAUAUGAGCCUAUAAUGGGUGAAGAUCGAGGAAUCUGCUGGUUCGGGUACCUUUGCCCUAGAAGCCGAACUUCAUAUAGUGAACCUUAGGAAUCCACCUUAGGUAGAACUAUACUGAACCCUAGUAGAUAUCCGAUUAGGUGUUUUACUAUUUCUUGAUUAUAUUUUAUGUUGUUAUAUGACACUGACUUUUUGUGUUUUAUUUUGAUUGCAUGACAUGACAUUUCAUUUCAUCAUAAAAGGCGUCAGUUCAUAUUCAGUUGCUAGAUAGAAAGCUUGUCAUGGAAAAAGGGUUUCUUGAUAAAGCAGAGGACAAUGCGGCUGUCCGAACCUGGUCUGAAACAAUGCAGCAAGAAAAGGGUGAUAGUUUGGUUGAUGGGUAUGUGUUGAAAUUAUGGGACUUUACGCGCAUUAGUGUAACUCAAAACAAUUUGCAAGAAUUAAAGGAGAUAUGGGAUCAGUGGAAUGAUGAGGUUAGACAGCUAUUCUAUGAUAAUUAUGGGGAUUUGUCUUAUUUGCUUGACGUAAAGGUAGAAAAACGUUUAUUUCGAGCCCUCACCCAGUUUUGGAAUCCUGCUUACAACUGCUUUACAUUUGGGAAGGUUGAUUUGGCACCUACGAUAGAAGAAUAUGUGGCUUUACUCAGAUGUUCAAAGUUUCAAGUAGACAGCGUUUACUCGAGAGUGGUAAAUGUGCCAACCUUAUCAAAGAAGUUGAUGAGUAUAACAGGAAUGAGUGAGUAGUGGGUUACUGCACGGAUUAAGCAAAAGGGGGAUAGUAAGUGCGUUCCUUAGAGAAGCUUGAAAGAUGCAAUUCUAACACACCCAGACGUAAGAAAGAGGUUAGAUGUCUUUGCUUUAAGUAUAUACGGCUUGGUUGUCUUCCCUAAAGCCUUGGGGCAUGUGGAUGAAGCAGUCACUAAUUUAUUCGACCGACUCGAUAAGAAGGUUACAUCGAUUCCAGCAAUUUUGGUAGAAACUUUCAAGUCAUUGAGUGCAUGCCGAAAGACGGGUGAAAGUAGAUUUAUUGGAUGUGCACAGCUUCUACUCGCAUGGUCUCACAGUCACUUUUGGAAGGUGGAUAAGGUUUUGUAUCGGGUUUUCUCUGAAAAUUAUUCACCACUAAAGGAGAUAGUAGCUACGCCGAGGAGAGAUGAUAUUUCGGAAGAGAAGUGGGUGGCAAUUCUUCAAAAUCUUCAGGAGGAGGACGUUGAGUGGAGAGCUCCUUGGUUUCUUCCAAAUGAGAUCCUGUAUAGGUGUGGUAAUUUUGAUUGGGUUCCUUUGCUUUGUAUUUGGGGAGCUGUUAGAUAUGCCCCAUUAUUGGUGCUAAGGCAAUAUAGGUCAAGGCAAUUUAUACCUACGACCCAAGGGAUAGUUGAUUGUGAAUUUUCGUACAAGGAUGAUGGUUAUAGAAAGAAGAUUCAAGAGAUGUCUAGUGCAUGGAAACAGACUCACCAAAUGAAGAGGUUAGCUGUGGGUCCGAUGACAACUCCUGAGUAUCAUGAAUGGUGGGUUAGGAGGAUUAACGAUAAUACACCUAAGUUAAAUCAAGAAAAUAGUCAGUCAAUAGAGGAAUAUUUGCGGGUCAUCCCUUUUGAGUUGGAAAUCAUAAGACAAGAUUUUGAGAGAAGAAAUGCAGAUUUAGAAAAGAAGAUAGAGCAAAUGGAGGAGGAAAAGACGAACUUGAGAUUGGACAUAGACGUUCAAAAGCUUGAAACUGAGAAAUUAAAGAAGGAGGAAAACAAUGCUGAGGAGGAGCUGGGUAGUCUGAAGACGGAUUAUAAAAAGUUGCGUCUGUCAAUGAGAACUGCUGGGCUGGGAAAAACUUCAGAACAGUGGCGAGCAAAAAUUCGAGAAGAAAAGGACAAAGUCGAUAGAUGGGAACAGAAAUUCCAAGAGAUGCAGAGAUGAAAUGAGGCUUUAGAAAAGAGUUUGUCAAAAAGCCAAAAGGAAAAGGGCGAGUUAAAGGAUAGGGUGACUGAGUUGGAAAGAACUCUUCAUCAGUAUCGAAAUUGAAAUUUCGCAAUAGAGUUGAAAGAAAGCUUGAGCAAGAUUGAAGAAAUGAAGAAAAGAAUAGAAGAGCUAGAAAUGGCGUUGCAAAAUUGUGAAAUCCGGAUCAAGCACUUGGAAGCAAAUGAAAAUCGUAAUAGUGAACAGCUACACUACUUUCAGAACCAAGUUAGGAGCAGAGAUCAUAUUAUGGAGGAAGUUGUGGUCCAGAUCCGAGAAGUAGCUGAUCAUGUACAAACUUUGGCAGUACAGGCAGACAUGCUGAGUGUGAAGUAUGAAUUAGAAUCAGAUCGGGGGUAAGAGUUAGCUGUGUUACUUAGGAAGAUUAGAAUGCUGAGUAAUAGGGCAAAGCUUUAUUUGUAAUUCACUUUAUGUAAAGAAAUUUGUUUUCUAGUAAAGUUUUCUUAAAUGCAAUUGAAUCAAAAUUGACGCCUUUUUGCAUUCAUUUCAUGCAUUGCAUGCAUUAAAAAUAAUAAUAAAUACUAAAAUAUUUUAAUUGAUUCCUCAGAUAAUCUGGAAACCAACCUACCAAACACCGCUAUGGUACCUGAUCAAAGACUAAAGACAUGGACCAAAGGCUAGAACAGUUCCAAAAAGAAAUGCAAGAUCAACUUCAACAACAAAUGAAUGAGCAGCUUGAAAAGAUUCAACAAAUAAUGGAUAAAGUGAUGGAAUCUUAGGGGAAUAUUAUGGCUAAGUUGACUCAGUUGUUUACUGGAGGAGUUGAUAAAGGAAAAAGCUCUGUGCUUAAUGUUGAAGAAGGAGACAAUGAGGGACCUGUCUAUCCUUCAGACUUUACCCCCCAGCAAGUUGAGAUAUACCCGCGCAGGUCCUCUGUUACCAUUAAGCCUCAGCAAUUUUAGGAUGACGCUGCAGCGCUAAUGAAUCUUCAGGUUGGAUCAGGCUGUAACCCCGGAGCCAACCUUGUUAAUCCUGCUAUCCCUGACUUCGAUGAGAUAGCUGGGAAGGAGAAAAUGAAUGAUGAAUUGCCAAAAUAGCUAGAGGAAAAGUACAAAUGGCUGGAGGAGAAAUUUAGGACGAUGGAAUAUGCGGAGAGCUACUAUGGGAUGGAUGCUAAAGAAUUGAAUCUGGUUCCGGAUUUAGUACUCCCUUACAAGUUCAAAAUGCCAGAGUUUGAGAAGUGCAACGGAACUAGUAGCCCCAAAGCUUAUAAUACCAUGUUUUGCAGACGAAUGACUGGUUAUGUCAAUAACGACCAACUCCUGACACAUUGCUUCCAGGAUAGCCUCACAGGGGCAGCAUCCAAGUGGUACAAUCAAUUGAGUCGUACCAAGAUUAAUUCGUGGAGAGAUUUGACACAGGCAUUCAUAAAAUAAUACAGUCAUGUGACUGACAUGGUACCUGAUAGAAUCACUCUACAAAACAUGGAAAAGAAACCCGGUGAAAGUUUUAGGUAAUACGCACAGAGGUGGAGGGAGGUUGCCGUCCAAGUUCAGCCAUCUCUUCUAGAGAGAGAAAUGACAAUGCUUUUCGUUAACACAUUGAAGGCCCCAUUCAUUAUGCAUAUGUUAGGAAGUGCUACUAAAAGCUUUUCUGACAUAAUUAUGAAUGGUGAAAUAAUAGAAAAUGCUAUCAGAAGUGGAAAGAUAGAUGCUGGAGAAAGUAGCAGAAGGUCAGCCUCGAAGAAAAAGGAAAAUGAGGUCAAUAACACCAGUUAUUCAAAGACGAUUAUGGUGAAUCAGUCGAGAAAGGUGGCUGAUAACCAACAAGGUUCUUUGAGACAAGAACUUGGAAUGAAACAAGGUACUGGGAAGCUCCAGUUCACACCAAUCCCGAUGUCGUAUAAGGAGCUGUAUCAAAACUUUUUCAAUGCACACAUUGUUUCCCCUUCCUACUUAAAACCUUCACAACCUCCGUACCCCAAGUGGUAUGAUGCGAACGCACAAUGUGAUUACCAUGCGGGUAUUACGGGGCACUCAAUAGAGAAUUGCAUUACCUUCAAAAAGCUAAUUGAAAAGUUCAUCAACAUGGGUAUUGUCAAGUUGGAUGAUCCAUCUAAUCCACUACCCAAUCAUGAUUGAUAAUGGAGUGAACGUAAUAUAUGAAGAGGUGUUGGGAAGGGUUCACAUCAAUGUCAUAUACGGAGACAAAAUUGAAAAGGGACCUUGUUAGAUGUCCACCCUUAUAAAUUUGGGAGUGUUCAAAAUAAUUGGAUUGCGGAAGAAAUCUCUGUAGUCUUUAGAGCUUAUUUAAGUAAUGUUCAGAACAUUCUUGUUGUUUUUAGCCUAAAAAUGAUAGGAAUUCUUUUGUGAAAUAGGCUCAUGUUUGAACAUCAUUAUUCUAAUAAAAUACAUCUUUGCAUUUAUUUUUGAGCCAAUAUUAUUUCAUUCUUUGCGAGUAAUUAUUCUUUCAUUCUUUUGGAUUUUCUUCCAUUCUUUCAUUCUUUCAUUUAUAAUAAUUAUUCGUAAAUUCACACAUUCUUUUGUAUAUUCUUUUGCACUUACUAUGGGUCCCCAGAUAUCAAUGAUAUGAGUGAUGCUGCUACAGACUUAGAAUCUCCUUUUGAGCGAGAUAUGUGUUUAGAGGGAUCUCAUAACUUUGAAGAUGACAUAGAUUAUAGCCUAUUUCUGAACUUGUUAAGGAUGGUAGAACAAAUCGAGAAACGGAUCUUACCCUAAAAAAAAAGUCAUUGGGAUACAUGACUUCUCCUUAUGUGGGGCAUGAAGGUCAUUUGGUUGAUCUCGCCAAAAGAGUCUGAUGGUUAUCGAUUCAUCUUUGUGAUCAUCAAUUACUUUACUAAAUGGGUGGAAGUUGCUUCGUAUGCCAAUGUCACAAAGUCGACAGUUAGCGAAUUCUUGAAGAAUCAUGUGGAACGCCAAAAGGAUCAUAUCUGACAACAUAAUAUCAAAAGUUUGUAGUCUGUUCACGAUCAAUGCCAUAUAGCCAAAAAAGGAUGGUGCAAAAAAAAGAAAAAAAAGAAAAAAACUCUUCUAGGGCAAUACCUUUCUCUUGGGCUCAUCGUGGUUUUACCUAUUAAAGACAAUAUUAUUUCUCUCUGAGUUUUUGGAUUAAUUCUGAUUGAAGAGAAACGUUCAAAGUUAUCCAUCAUGGUUAAAUAUGCCAAAAGCAAAUGAUACGAGCUCACAAAAAAGGUCCGCCCUAGAGAAUUCUUUGAGAGGGACUUGGUAUUAAAGAAGAUCCUUCCCGUACAAAAAGAACUCCAUCCCAAGCCGGGAAGGAUCUUAUGUGGAAGGCCUUAUCUGGAAAAACGAAGAUAGCAAGGACAUGCCUAAUCCUAUGAGUUCAGAUUCAAUCAAAAAAUAUUUCAAAAAAAAAAAGCAAAAGGGAGAGACCAAGGUGAAAAUCCGCAAAGGACGCAUUGAGACCAAAGGGGAUUUGAGUUGAAAAACCCAAAAAGGGCGGCUCAAAUAGUGAUCAAAAUGAGGCAUGAGGUGAUUAGAGCAACUCGAAUCUUGAUCAGAUUGGGGCAUGUGGUGAUCUAGUCAAUAGGAAAGAGUAGGCAACAUCUUCAGGCAUCGACAGGGUACUGUAGAUUUCUCAAACACAUGUCAAACUCAGAAGGGUCUUCAGAAAGUUUGUACAGAGAAGUUCAAGCUGCGAUAUAUGGGGCACCCAAUUUUCAUACUAUUGAAUUUGUUGUUCUUGGAAUACUUCAUUCUUUUCAAAGAUACACAUUCCCAAUAAUUUCUUUGUCAUCCUUCUUUGCUAUUUUUGAUAAUUUAUUUCUUUCGAGCUAUGCUCAGAACCAACUUUUUCUUAUGUAUUGUUAUGACCUUUUUUGCAAGCAUGUUGCAUUGGAAUAAUGAUUAAUGGACUAAUAAAACUUUCACAAGGGAAGUUUUGCAUAUUACUUUAGAAGUUUCUAAAUAAUACAGGAACCUGAAACAGGACUAUUGUUUAGAACGCACCAAGUUUAAAGGUUGGAAAUUUAAGAAGGAAAAGUCUAAUUAGAAAUUUCUGGAUUCUGUUGUCAAAAACAUUGAUUGAGCAAAGUGACAGGAUGUCAGGUUGGUGACAAAGAUAAAAUAAACAAGCGAGCAAUGGUCACCAGGUAAUAGGAAGAGGUUUCCUCAGAGAAGAAAGACUUCAUUUGCACAUGAGUCUUUGGUACGACACCUUAGGCAUGGUGUAAUGGGCCAAAGAAUUUUACAUUCUGUAUAUUUGAAUUGUGAUAGGAGUGGAUUGAGAAGAAGCCAUAUAUUUCUACCAUCGGGUUGCAGUGGGAGAAUGAUGGUACAAAUUUUACGUCCUAGUAGAUUGAACUUUAAUGUUUACAGCGGGGGAAAUUUGACUAAGUGGAGACUCCAGCCGAGCAAGAAAGCGUUGUAGCACGUUAGUGAUAAAGCCUUAAUAAACUUCGAGCAAUGAUAACUUAAGUGAAAAAGGGGAUUAUUUUCAAAAAUAGCAUUCUACAUCCAUGCAAACACCAUUCACACAUGUCUAGUUAGGAGCAUUUGAUGCAUUUCGAUCAUGCAAUCCUAAUCUUAGGCAUAUUUAGGUUCUUUAUACAGGUCAUGUUCCUCAAAGAACAAAUCGGUGAAAUUACAAAGUCUUGCCUUCCUGGUUUGCAGCAGAGCAGGUUGAAAAUAACAGAUUUUGCCUUCCUGUACUGACGGCGAAGCAGAUCGAAGAUACCAGCCUUGCCUCCUUGGGUUGUAGUGGAGCAGGUUGAAGAUAGUAAAUCUUGCCUUCCUGCAUCGACAGCGAAGCAGAUCGAAGAUACCAGCCUAGCCUCCCUUGGUUGUAGUUGAGCAGGUUGAAGAUAGCAGAUCUUGCCUUCCUGUACCGACAGUGAAGUAGAUCGAAGAUACCAGCCUUGCCUCCCUGAGUUGUAGUGGAGCAGGUUGAAAAUAGCAGAUCUUGCAUUCCUGUAUCGACAGUGAAGCAGAUCGAAGAUACCAGUCUUGCCUCCCUGGGUUGUAGUGGAGCAGGUUGAAGAUAACAGAUCUUGCCUUCUUACAUCGACAGCGAAACAGAUCGAAGAUACCAGCCUUGCCUCACUGGGUUGUAGUGGAGCAGGUUGAAGAUAGCAGAUCUUGCCUUCCUAUACCGACAGUGAAGUAGAUCAAAGAUACCAGCCUUGCCUCCCUGGGUCGUAGUGGAGCAGGUUGAAGAUAGCAGAUCUUGCCUUACUGUAUCGACAGUGAAGCAGAUCAAAGAUACCAGCCUUGCCUCCCUGGGUUGUCGUGAAGUAGAUCGAAAAAAGCAGAUCUUGUCUUCAUGUAUUGGCGUGAAGUAGAUCAAAGAUAGCAGAUCUUGUCUUCAUGUAUUGGUGUGAAGUAGAUCGAAGAUAACAGAUCUUGUCUUCCCAUACUGGUGGCGAAGUAGAUCAAAGAAAGCAGAUCUUGUCUCCAUAUAUUGGCGUGAAGUAGAUCAAAGAUAGUAGAUAUUGUCUUCAUGUAUUGGCGUGAAGUAGAUCAAAGAUAGCAAAUCUUAUCUUCAUGUAUUGGCGUGAAGUAGAUCGAAGAUAGCAGAUCUUGUCUUCCCAUACUGGUGGCAAAGUAGAUCGAAGAAAGUAGGUAUUGGCAAAGUAGAUCGAAAAAAGUAGAUCUUGUCCUCAUGUAUAGGCAUGAAAUAGAUCAAAGGUAGCAGAUCUUGUCUUCCCACACUGGUGGCGAAGUAGAUCGAAAAUACAAGUCUUAUCUCCCUGAAGUUGCAGUGGAAUAGAUUGAAACACUAAUUCCUAUACCUCUGACGAUGCAGUAAGAUGAAAUGUGGCUGCUUGAAGAAGAAGAGCACCAAGAUCCAGCGUGACCGGGCAAAAAUGGUUAUUUCUAAAGUCUUUUCUCCUUUCCUGUUACACUACAACGAGCAAAGAGGGGCAGCUGUAAUACCCAAUUUUAGCCCGGGCUCGCAAUAAUAAAAUAAAGUUUAAAUCCAGUACAAAAUUAUAUCAUUUGGCCCGAUCAGAAUGGCCCAUUACUUAAAAAGGUUUAAGGUCCAUCUACAAGCUUAUGGAAACAUAAUCUUCAAGGAUAUGCAAUCUUAGAUAUGAUAUAUGCAAUCUUGGAUAUGAUAUGCAAUCUUGAAAGAUAUGAUUUUGUAAUCUUAGAGAUUUAAUUUUUAGAUACCCUUUAAUCUUAGCCGUUGAUGUAAUUGAUCUGUACCGUUGGAUUUGGGGAGGCUCAACUAUAAAUAGAGGCCUCUCCCUUCAUUGUGGAGGGAGGAAAAAAAUCAAUAAAAAAAGGGGAGAACGAUUGUCAGUUUUUUAAAGGUGGCUUACUGUUUUUUUUGUUUUUUUUAUUUUUACUUAUUUACGAUUUUAAAAAAUGGAGAAGGUGAUACCAUUGCGAAUUUUAUUUAUUUUUUUAGCCCUAAUAAAGUGACGCGUUUCAAAGGAUGGAGAUAUUUUCCCAUUCGAGCCCUAUAAGUUAUUCGCGCCUUUUAUUUGGGCCAUUCAUUUUUUUUUCUUUUAAUUCUGUUUGGAGUUCAAUUUAAAUCCUUGUUAAUUCAAUGUGCUUGAUUUCUUACACCACUAUUUUUAAAAAAAAAAUAUUUAAUUUUGAAUCUAAUACUAUUUUAAUGAUUAAGCUUAGUAUUUUCCAUUUUAUUUUACGUUUUAUAUGUAUUAUGGCUAUAAAUUUGUUGAAUUAUAUGUAUAUAUUACCCUUUUUAAAAAAUUAUAAUGUAUCAUUAUUUUGAAAUUCAAUAUAUAUUGCUAUUAUUUCGAUUUAUCACACUUUUUUAUAUUUUAGGUAAAUUCAACAUGAUUUGUAUAUAUUCUUUGAUAUCCCUAUUUUGUAAUAUAUUUUCGAAAUUCACUUUACAUAUUUAUAUGUCUUAAAGAUUUAUAUGAAAAUGUUUUUAUACAAUACUAUUUUAUAUAUACAUAUAUAAUUUGUAAUAAAUUAUUUUUAUUCUAUAUAUUAUUGAUUUCUUAUUAUUUUAUCUAUUACCUUUAAAUUCUCUCUUAAAUAGGUUUAUGUAUUUUCUUUCGAAUUUAUUUAUUAUUUAUCAUUCAUUAGUGUAUGUUUUAUUUACGAAUUAUCGCUCCAUGUUGUAUAUUAUCAUUUAUCGCAUUCUAUUCGCUUAAAAGGCUAUGUUCGAUAUCAUUCAAGCAUCAAAAUCAUUUUAUUCAAAAAUUUUCAAUACUCGUAUUUAGGAUUUUCAAGGAAAUUGAGCCCUAACGUAUUGGGUUCCGAUUUUCUUCGUUAAAUCUAGCGAUCGAGAGUUGCUCAUUAAUCAAAAAAUAAAAUGAAAAGCUUGUUGUCGGGAAUUUAAUAUGUUGUAUCCUAACGUAUUGGAUGUGACGUAUUGAUUUCUCGAGACAAAUAUUUUUUUUUAAAAUGAUAACAAAGGAAAUAUUCCAAGUUUAGUAUUUUGAGAAAUUGUGCCCUAACUUAUUGGGCCGCGAUUUCUUAAAUCUUAAAUAAAUGGAUAUUCUUUUAAAUUUUUAUUAUAAGAGUAUUUUGGACUAAAUCAUUUUUGAGGUUUGAGGAAAUAGAAUGUCGUGCCCUAACGCAUUGGGUGUGACAUUUUCUUUUUCUGAAAUGGUAAGAGUCUUAAUAAGUAACGUUUUUUAGUUUUUAUUAAGGAUCAUAUUUUUAAAUUUUCGACAUUAAGACACUAAUUAAUUAACUAGGUACCAAUUUUGGGAGUUACGAGGGUGCUAGUCCUUCCUCGUACGUAACCAACUCUCGAUUCCAUUUUUCUAAAUCUCGUAGACCAAAUCUAUUUUUUAGGUGAUCCAAUCACACCUCAAUAAAAGAUUGGUGGCGACUUCCAAUUUUUGUUUUUUUUUAAGUCGACAACUAAUUUUUAUUUUUUUUCCAAAAUAAAAAAAUAGUUUCGACACAAAUUAUUAUAACCAUUGUAAUAUUUAUUUAUAAUUUCACAAAGCAUUAUACAACUAUACAAAUUAUUAUGGAUCUCAUUUUUGUGUAACACUAAUUAUACAAAGCAUUAUUCAAUUACACAAACUAUUAUAACUUAUGCAAUAUUUUAUGUAAUAGAAACUCAUUCUAAAGAACUUUGCUUAGGCAAGGAAAUAAAAGCGCAUACUCCAAUACGUAAAUAUCUUUAUAUUAAAGAUUGAGAACAUUUUUAAGAUUAAUUAAUAUUAUUUCUAGUAAUAACAUAAAAUGUGAAAAUGAAUAAUAAAAAUGAUCCUAAUAAAAGAAUAGUUGAGUGAUUAAUUUCUUUGUUCGUAUUCCAAAUAUUAGGAUUAAAGUUUUAUUAUGGUCAUCCCCUCCCUAAUCUGUAUAUAAAAAAACAGCUGCUGGUAGAAUUAGCUAAACUUAAACCAAAGAGUAGAGGACAACCAACAAAAAAAAGGAAGCAAGGAAAGGUGACUAAGCAAGGCCUGAGGAGUAGUCCUGCUUAUCGCGUUUCCAUGACUAUUUUAAUUUGGAACACAUUGGGUCUAAUCCUUUAAAGCAAAAUGGGCUUAUUUGGAGGGUAAAUAAGUUAAAAGUUGAAAUUCGUUGUCUACUGGAAACAGCCAUGAGAGGAAAUUUAAAGGUUGGAAAGUUGUAAAUAACUAUGAACAAGCACCAAAUGGGAGGAUUUGGGUACCUUGGAAGGGAGAUUGGCAAAUUGAUGUGGUCAUUACUUGUUCUGUCACUUUAGGUGAGCAGCAAUUUUAUCGAUCAGCUGUUUAUGGUAGUAAUAAUAGUAUUGAGAGGAGAAUUUAUUGGAACAAAUAGAAAUUUGAUGCUAAUUGUUAACAGUCCUAAAGAGAGCUUUGAUUUUACUAGAAAUCAACCUGUCAUAAAGGAAAUGUAGGAUUUUUUGGACUGUCAGAAUGCUCUGGAAAUUUUGGACCAUACAUUGACUGGCCCUCUCGUAUAACGAUAGGGCUAAUGAGCCCCUUUCUAGAAAACUGGAUACAAAGUCCUUGUUUACUUUGAAUGACACUCUCUUUACCCUACUUCUAUCAUAGAGUUUUUGUAUGUAUCAUUGCUAGGUAACGAGGACUUAACAAACUAGACACAAAAAUCAUAAUCACUAAUCAAUUAUAUUAGUUUGGUUAGUCACCUACAGCUUCAAAUUCCAGGAUUAAAAUCUAAAAUAAAUUUAGGAGUAAAGCUUAAAACUAUGGCUUAGUCUCAUUACCAAAUAAGAAUUCAAGAGUAUAGUUAUAUGUAAGGAAGAUUAUAACACCCUUACAACGCCUAUAUCUAAAGUCAGUCUUACAAAACCAGUUAAUAAAUUUUAAAGUGAUUUAAAGUCAACAAAUCUAAAGCUUGAAAUUCAACCAUUAUAAUCAAGAGGUCAAAAAACGGUGUUAAAACUGAAAGAAAUUGAAAGGAAAAACCUAAAUGAACAAAUAAAAAAUAACUAAAUAAAAAAAAAACUUAAUACUAACCAUAUACAUAUAUAUAAUCUAAAUGGGAAUUUCUAACCUAAUAUCCAAAUUCUAGUUUCAAAAAUGUAAUAUAUAUAUAUAUAUAUAUUAAAAAAAAGGAAAAUCUAAUCUAAUAUAAUGCCUAAUACUAUAAAUCUAAAAUUUUAUAAGCUUUGAAAUCUAACCAUCUAAAAAUCUUGAAAUCUAGAUCAAAGACCUAAUAUCUAAAGUUUUAAAUAAAAAAUCUAAGAAAAUAUAAAAUUCCUAAAAUCUAAUUUAAAGAUAUAAUAUUUAAAAUCAUGAAUUUAAAAAUCUCAAAAUCUAAUGUAAAAUAUAAAAUUCUAGAAUCUACUAUAGAAUUCUAAAUAAAAAUUUUAAAUUCUGAAAAAAUAUGAAAUGCUGACAUCUAAAUUGAUGAUCUACUAUAAAAUCUUAAAUUCUAAAAUCUAAUCUAAUAUAAAACAAAAUCCUAAAAUUCAAUUUAGAUUCUAAUAUAAAAUCCUAAAUUCUAAAAUAUAAUCUUUUUUAAAGACAAUUUAGAUUCUAAUAAAAAAUCCUAAAGUCUAAAAUCUAUUCUUUUUUAAAAGAAAAGCUACUAUGAGCACUAUUUAAAAAUGAUAGUGACAUAACAAACCCCCAACCUUUCUUUUUUUUUUUUACUUUAAAUUAACUAAGUCUGUCGGUUUUGGCACGUCUCUUUAGUCUGCCGAAUUGGCACGGAACCCUACUUUUCCCAGUUGUUUGUUUUAGGUUUUCUUGCAGCUGUAUCAGACUGUGGAAUCACGAUAGAGGAUGCGAUGGCGAAUAUGAAGUUGUUGGACGAUGAGGAGGAAGAGAUUUAGGAAGUUGUAGGAGCAGAGAAUUUUGUUUAUCAAUUUUGCCUGGUGGGUCGUUGCUUAAC